ensembl:misc_RNA
CUUUGCAAAGUAUCCAAGACCAACAAGAAAGGAGAGUAAUAUCCUACCUCACCCUGCCACCACCAGAAGAGGGGCACAGAGAUGGGGGAGAGAGUGGCAGCAUCUGGCAUCCAGCCAGAGGAGUCUGUGAAGGGA